CCCAGUUGGCACUCCAAUAUUGGCAUAAUCUUUUGAUUUAAGAUUGGAUGACUUGUGAAGUGCAUGCACAUGCCUUUAAUUGCUUCAACCGUACGUAGAUUAUUGACUUAUAAAAUCCAUCUUACUUCUCAUACUCAUAUAAUUGGAUUUCAUUUCAUUUGUAAAUUGUAACCACAGCUAAGCAGCAUCUAAAUUGCAACCUCGAUUAAAACAAAACCUUUUCAGCUCUGAAAGCAAAGGUUGGUACUACUCAAACGUCUUGAUCUUGGAGACUUUUAGCAAUCCCUAUAUAUAAAGAAAACAACACUUGAAUUUGGUUUGUAGUAUAUAAUUGUUUGCAAUUCCUUCCUCUGAAAAAAUAAAAUGCAUAGGUCUUCAAGUAUCUCAAGAGCGUCCAGUGAGUUCCUGGUUGACGUUACAGUCACAUCUUUAGCUUUCCCACCUCUUAAGAUGGCAGAUUCAUCACAUGACCUGCCAAUUCAUCAUCACUCUGCAGUGUCCGAUGUUACGAAGAAGGAAAUGACACUCCUUGUCCAUGGUAAGCCACCUGCACAAAAAGCCAUUCAUCUCAUACCUCUUGUCCUCAUCUUUUGUGGUUUUAUUCUUUGGAUUUUCUCUCAUCAGUGACGACAUGUACUGAAAGGGUGGGGGAAAAAGAGAAUUGUGAACAAGUUCAAUUCUAGCUCUUAUUUCUUAAUUAAUUCUUAUGUUUUCCAUUGACAAAAAGUUGUUUAUGGAUAAGAUCGAUCACGCUCAUGUAUGCCACGUAUAUUUUAUACUCAAGGAAGGAAAUUUUCAUUUGUUUUUCAUCAAGAUUA
rnacentral:lncRNA from 1 species